rnacentral:rRNA from 1 species
CACCGCGGUUAUACGAGAGGCCCAAGCUGAUAGACACCGGCGUAAAGCGUGGUUAGGAUUUUUAUAAAACUAAAGCCGAACACCCUCAGAGCUGUUAUACGCACCCGAAGGUAAGAAGACCAACCACGAAAGUGGCUUUACAACGCUGAACCCACGAAAGCUAUGAUA